UCGGGUUGUAAAGCACUUUUGUCCGGAAAGAAAACUUCUGCCCUAAUACGGUGGGAGGAUGACGGUACCGGAAGAAUAAGCACCGGCUAACUACGUGCCAGCAGCCGCGGUAAUACGUAGGGUGCGAGCGUUAAUCGGAAUUACUGGGCGUAAAGCGUGCGCAGGCGGUUCGUUAAGACAGAUGUGAAAUCCCCGGGCUUAACCUGGGAACUGCAUUUGUGACUGGCAAGCUAGAGUAUUGGCAGAGGGGGGUAGAAUUCCACGUGUAGCAGUGAAAUGCGUAGAGAUGUGGAGGAAUACCGAUGGCGAAGGCAGCCCCCUGGGCCAAUACUGACGCUCAUGCACGAAAGCGUGGGGAGCAAACAGGAUUAGAUACCCUGGUAGUCCACGCCCUAAACGAUGUCAACUAGUUGUUGGGGAUUCAUUUCCUUAGUAACGUAGCUAACGCGUGAAGUUGACCGCCUGGGGAGUACGGUCGCAAGAUUAAAACUCAAAGGAAUUGACGGGGACCCGCACAAGCGGUGGAUGAUGUGGAUUAAUUCGAUGCAACGCGAAAAACCUUACCUACCCUUGACAUGUACGGAACCUGGCCG
rnacentral:rRNA from 1 species